GGUUGUUGAAUAACUUGAGGAAUGUUUAUUCAGAGGGGAUGGCAGGUCCCUUUUAAAGCAAAGUUACAUCAUAAGCAUUGUCAGAGAUAACAUGGAAUAAUACAUCAAUUAUUGGUUAGGUGUUAAGUGGUCGCUCUAAUGCUCUGCCUACUGGGGGUGAUGUCACCAGGGCCAUGAGGGUCUCCCACGGUUUCCCGGCUCCAUCUUGCUGCACGAGGUAGUUAGUCGGUGUUAAAGGGAGGGGGAGGAAAGGAGGGGUUAGAAGCUUCUAGCAGCCAUCUUGGUUAAAACAUGUGUGCAUAGCUUAUAUUGUAUAUAGUGAAAUGAGUAAAUAGACAUUUUCAUUAACUAGGAAAUAUGUGCAGACCUUAUUUCCACAAGAGACCGCACAUGAGGCAGUAACCGAAAUCAGUUCCAUACAUUUUGGCCUUGCGGUCAAUCUUUGUUCCUGGGGUAAAAGAUAUGAAAAUCCUUGACAUCCAUGGCUGUACUGACGUUCGUAUAAAUCCCCUUGUUCGUGGGAUUAAUUUAGCCGAAUGGCGGGUUGUUCGUAUGUUUGGUUUGGCAAUUAUGGAACUCUGGAGGUCUUUGCGUAGUCGAGUGUCCGUCCGAUUUGGGUUCCAGACACUCGACGACCAAACACCGCUGGGCAUUCGUAUGGCAAGAUGGCCACCGCCACGUGUUCGUAUGCCGAACAGCGGUCAUUCAGGGAACAAACACAGAGCAUUCGUCUAAUUGCUAAUUAGACUGUGGUUAACACCGAUCAGAGAGGUUAACUAGGGGCACACUUCUCUCGGGGGUGGUCUGAUUGUUUCGUAGUUUGUUCUUGUGACAAACGGAGUGGUUUUAUGCUUCAUACAAUAUGGGUAUAUAGAAAACAAAUGAAACGAAAAUUACCUUAUAACACGAAUAUUUAAAGACAGCCCAACACAAUCUACUACACAUCUCUCAGACUAUUGUGUUAUCACAGUUAUUCCCUAACCACCUGGAUAUAUCCUUCAAUAUAUAAACAUUUAAACUUCAACAUUGUGAACUUAACCCAAAUAACGUGUGUUUUUUUUUUUUCCUAUUUUCGGUUGAUAAGGGAUUAUCUACUAAGUGCUGAUACUGGUUUUUAUUAAAUUAAUUAAAAAAUUUUAUUACAACUGUAUUUCCACAAUUCCUGUAUAGUUCUCUCUAUUUUGUUAAGAUGCAAGAGUUGAGUUGUGACCCGCGGGUAAGUAAAAGUUAUAAAAAUAGAUAAUGAAACGUCUUGCCAAGGAACAAAAUAAUAAAUAUAUGUAGGGAGGUGGCCAUAGUUUGAAAACAGUCACAGCCUUAUUUGUACUUAUAUGUAUUGAUUCAGUUGUGAUAAAGUCCCCUGGAAGUGACAAAACGUGUUUACUUAUUAUAUUCUCCUGAUUAAGCUGACCCACUAUUUACUACAGUUAAUAUUACUAUUAACUAUAUUGUCUAUUCCUGUAUUACUAAUGGCUUACUUACAAUCUUGGCCCCAGGUGAGAUAAGCUGUUCAAUAUUCACCUGCCUCAAGCUGAUUGGUUUGUUAUACCAUUGUCUGCUGCCGGUCUACCCAGCUCCGGUCUUGCUCUGGAUAUAUACAUUGCAUCUUUACUGGUACUUCUCAUGCUGAAUUCCACCUGGAUAGCUGGGACUUGCCGUCCACCUCUUCACCACUGACUGCUGGCUUCCAACUUCUGUCUCGGGAAAGUUGACCUCACCUAUAUUGUCGUGUCUCGGAAUGGCUGUCUUGAUAUACCACUGUCUACGGCUAAUUUACCCUGCUCUGGUGUCUCACUGGAUAUAUAUACACUGCACUUUUGGUAAGAUUAUUCUAUAUGAUUUUGGCCCUUAGUACAUACUCAACACGAUAUUCAUCAGUGACUACAAUUGUAGAUAUACAAUAAUACAAAACUGCAGGGUGCACCAGGGGGUAGGGGAUGACGUGAUACUCAAAACUGAAGUAAAACAGAUAAUACAUGGUCAGUAAGAUAAUAUAAAAUCAGUAAUAAAUAAAAGCAAACAAGCCAACACAGUCCAAAAGGAGGUAUAUAGGAAAGUCUAUAAGAGUUUGCCUAUAUCUCCAGGUGAUUAUGUCUUACAGAUAAAUGAGGUCCAGGUACAUAAAAGAGAAGAAAAGAUAUCCAAUAAUGCAAUAUGUUCCAAAAGUGUAAAGGCUAGAGUAAAAUAAAAUCCAAAUGGCCUACUCACAUGGAAUAGAGCUUAAAACCAGCUCUAGUGUGAAGCGCUUGCAGUGGUAUUAUUCCCCCACUUCAGAGAUAUGAUGGUAAUCAAGCAUAUACCUGGCAUGUACAAUCUUAUAUUCCAAUUAUGGAAUUUUACUAUUUUAAUUAUACAAAUGUAAUAUCAUGGUCGCGAACACACGACCAUGACGUCAUUAUACCACCAAAUUCAAAUUCUGCAUGUAUUUUACCUUAUAUAAGAUUGUACAUGCCAGGUAUAUGCUUGAUUACGACUUGAGAAAGCCCACUGAGGGUGAAACGCGUUGUGGAAUAUAGAUUUUAUAUUUUAAUUGUCAAUAUAAAGGUUUUGUUUUGAGUAUCACGUCAUCCCCUACGCCCUGGCGCACCCUACAGUUUUGUAUUAUUGUUUGUCCUUUUUGUUUUUUUCAGGAGAGAUUUACCCAUUUAGAUGGGCUGCCUCCCUGUCCUUUGACUUAGCGCUAUUCCAUUCUUUGUUUUUGUCAUUAAUUGUAGAUAUAAGUACAAAUAAAUCUGUGACUUAUUAAACUGCAGUCACCUCCCUGAAUAUAUAUUUAUUACUUUGCUCAUUGGCGGGAUGUUUCAUUAACUAUUUCUGAGAAUUUUACUUUGUUUGCGAAGAGUAAUUAUACUGGAAUUACAAAGAUCUCCAAUAUAGCUAAUUUGGAAUGCAAAUAUUCAUGUUUGUGCCCAAUAACAUUCUCUUUUAUACAUAGUGCUUACAGCACUGGUUUGUUAUGUGGUAUAAUUUGUUUAUACAGUUUGUAUCUAGCUACAUGCUUUAAGUGAUACUUUGCUUGAUGUGUUACAAUUGACCUACUUUCUAUUAAAAUAGCUUUAUAAUGUUAUUGGUGUUUAAUAUAGAUCUUUGUUACAUUCAGGGGAACCCAAACUGUUAUUUUCAAGUGCACGUGGAGAAGCAUGAAUUAGACACCAGACUCGUGUUGGUUAUUGAAAUAAGCCUCUGCCCUUUAUUUUGUCAGUAGUCAAUAUUCUGCUGGGAAACCUUGGGACUUGGUAUUCAUGUGGAUGUUACUCUGACAUCUACCUAGAGAUUGUGGCAGAUCUCGUACUUCCCUUAAUGACAAUGGUGUUCCCUGAUGGCAGUGACCUCUUUUAUCAGGGUAAUGCAUCCUGCCACAUUGCAAACAUUGUUCAAGAAUGGUUUGAGGAACAUGACAAAAAGUUCAAGGUGUUGCCUUAGUCUCCAAAUUUCUCAGAUCUCAAUCUAAAAUGAUCAUCUGUGGGAUGUGCUAGAACAACAAAUCAGAUUCAUAGAAGCCCCACCUCAAAGUUUGCAAUACUUAAUGUAGCUGUUCUGGUUAGUAUAGUCAAUCCUGCAGGAUUUUUGCAGUAAACAAUGUAUUUUCAUAGAAAAUGUAGUGUUUACAUUAAAGCCUAGAAACACCUCCAGGGCCACUCCCCAGAUGGUUACUAGAGGUGCUUCCUGGGGCAGUGCAGCACAGAUGUUCAGCAUAUCCACGCUCUGAGGAGAUGCUAAUUGGCCAGGGCGGUGUUUGGCCCUGCCCCCAUGGCAGUCUCAGGCAUUUUUUUCCCUGUGGAAAAUAAUUGAAUUGGUGGAGAUCAUCAGUUCUGAUGUCAGCCAAAGAGCUGGAUUGGGGGUAGGGCCAGCGCCUACAGAUCUGUGGAGAGCUGGAAGUAAGGUAAGUUUUCUAAGGGAGUAAAGGGGAGGGCAAGCUACCUAAGUGAUGGUUUUAAUACUAUAGAGUGAGGAAUACAUGUUUGUGUUCCUGACCCUACAGUGUUCAUUUAAAGAAUCUGCUGAUAAUGUCUUGGUGCACCGAUACGACAGGACACAUUAAGAGGUCUUGUGGAGUCCAUAUCUUGACGUAUCAGAGCUGUUUUUGCAGCAGAAGGGUGACCUACAUGAUAUUAGCAGGUGGUAUUAAUGUUGGUGCCGAUAUGUGUAUAUAAAAUAAUUAAACAUUAAAGGACCACUCCACACCCCAAAAGCAAUUCAGCUUGCUUAAGUGCUUUAUGGGUGAGGAGUACCCACAUUUAAUCCCAGUUUAUAAAAGUGCGGAUUUCUAUGAGAAAUCAGCACUUUUAUAAAUUAACUAGAGAACUCUCUCCUGGCUGUCAAACAGCCAGGGAGCAUUCCUUCCUACUUCCAUUUGCUCUACUGAGCCAAUAGAAGUGGUAUUCAUGGGGACCAAAUCAGAGGCUUCUCAAUUAGAGGUUAUUUCCCUGUGAAGAGACUGAAAGUAACGUCUGGGGGAAAAGGGGAGGGCUUACAAAGGCUGCAGCUUUUGU